CUCCCUCCUUCACCCCGUUAUAAGGACCUCUGUCGAAUUAAGUAGUACAUAUCAGUUCGCAAUCAGUUGUAAUAGCAUACUAAUGUUGUAUACUGUUUUUUUAUUUCUCUUAUUUAAAUAUAGCCCGAGGAGAGAGUCACGUUUUACCUUCGCGAUUUAAUUAGGCCUUGUAUUUCACGUAUUUCAACAGUGCAUCUUGUUUUGAUUAAGAAAACGUCUUAAUUAAUUACAUACCAGCACGCUAAACGCAACUGAUGUCAACAGCGUUUCAAUGAGCAAUAUUCCAAUACGUCUUAUUUUGGAUCAUUCUUGCAUCUUAUCCUUGAAUAAUUGAAAAGGUCAAUUUAUAACUGGAACGACAAGACGGUGCAUUCGCCUGGAGACUGGCAAACACACCUGAGAUUGGCGAGAUGUCUGGAAUAACAUUGCUGCACCCAUAGAAGGCCCGACUCUCAGUCUCUGUUUAUUGCACAGAUGAUUUCAUUGCCAUAUCUGCUAUUUGUUUGCGUUGGCCUGUGUAAAAUCAUAUCUUGUGUGUUGAUGGAUUACACAACGGAGCCAGUAUGUGUCAUAUUAAGCAAGCUAUCAAAACAGCACUAGGAGUUUCUCUCACUUUGCUGGCAGAUCCAUCGCCAACCGCUCUCACCUCUGGGUUUGUUUGCGGUCUGGAUGGAUACUCAUCAAUGCAGGAGCCUUGUAGACUAAAGAGGGAUUGGGCUUGAUUUGUACAUCCCUCUUGACAAAUGACAUAAAUACACAUUAAGCAGUGAAAGCGUUUGUUUUAGGAACUCUUUAAAACCCCUCCAGAGGCCAAGAAAUGCUCCAUACAACAAAAACCUUGCAGUGCUUUUUAAGCUGGGAUGGGGAGUGGGGUGCAGAGGCAUGGAGUCUGGUUGAGGUUUUGGAUGGGAGUAGAGGAACUCUGGCCACAUGAAGACGCCCAGUCGCUUGAUCUCAAAGAUUUUGACUUUGUGAUGUCUCACGUCAUUGCUCAAUCGCACACCCACACCCUUCACUGUGUUCAGGCACGCUGUAUGGUACGCGCUUUGCUCUAUAGACCGCAGCUCAGCGGGCCCUGCAGGGUCUGCGGCGCUGGUCGCUCUCUGGCAUAAAUCAACAUUCAU